rnacentral:rRNA from 1 species
GGUACCUAAUCAGAAAGCCACGGCUAACUACGUGCCAGCAGCCGCGGUAAUACGUAGGUGGCAAGCGUUAUCCGGAAUUAUUGGGCGUAAAGCGCGCGUAGGCGGUUUUUUAAGUCUGAUGUGAAAGCCCACGGCUCAACCGUGGAGGGUCAUUGGAAACUGGAAAACUUGAGUGCAGAAGAGGAAAGUGGAAUUCCAUGUGUAGCGGUGAAAUGCGCAGAGAUAUGGAGGAACACCAGUGGCGAAGGCGACUUUCUGGUCUGUAACUGACGCUGAUGUGCGAAAGCGUGGGGAUCAAACAGGAUUAGAUACCCUGGUAGUCCACGCCGUAAACGAUGAGUGCUAAGUGUUAGGGG